rnacentral:rRNA from 1 species
CGACGAUCAGUAGCCGGCCUGAGAGGGUGAACGGCCACAUUGGGACUGAGACACGGCCCAAACUCCUACGGGAGGCAGCAGUGGGGGAUAUUGGACAAUGGGGGGAACCCUGAUCCAGCGACGCCGCGUGAGUGAAGAAGUAUCUCGGUAUGUAAAGCUCUAUCAGCAGGGAAGAAGAAAUGACGGUACCUGAGUAAGAAGCCCCGGCUAACUACGUGCCAGCAGCCGCGGUAAUACGUAGGGGGCAAGCGUUAUCCGGAAUUACUGGGUGUAAAGGGAGCGUAGACGGUGAUGUAAGUCUGGAGUGAAAGGCGGGGGCCCAACCCCCGGACUGCUCUGGAAACUAUGUGACUGGAGUGCAGGAGAGGUGAGCGGAAUUCCUAGUGUAGCGGUGAAAUGCGUAGAUAUUAGGAGGAACACCAGUGGCGAAGGCGGCUCACUGGACUGUAACUGACGUUGAGGCUCGAAAGCGUGGGGAGCAAACAGGAUUAGAUACCCUGGUAGUCCACGCCGUAAACGAUGAUCACUAGGUGUGGGUGGGUAUGGACCCAUCG